rnacentral:ribozyme from 1 species
UGCCCAGCAACUCCUAUCCCUACCUCCUCGUGGUACUGGCCCGGGUACGAGUAACCUUAGGGAAGAUCGGAUAACCAAUCCCUGGUGGGAACUUUGGUAAUAUGCUGACAGGGAAGG